CGGGUGAGUAACGCGUAUGUACCUGCCCGCAACAGAGGGUAACCCGGCGAAAGUCGGACUAAUACCUCAUAAAACAGGGGUUCCGCAUGGGACUAUUUGUUAAGAUUAUUGGUUGCGGAUGGGCAUGCGUACCCAUUAGGUAGUUGGUGAGGUAACGGCUCACCAAGCCAUCGAUGGUUAGGGGUUCUGAGAGGAAGGUCCCCCACACUGGUACUGAGACACGGACCAGACUCCUACGGGAGGCAGCAGUGAGGAAUAUUGGUCAAUGGGCGAGAGCCUGAACCAGCCAAGUCGCGUGAAGGAUGACUGCCCUAUGGGUUGUAAACUUCUUUUACAGGGGAAUAAAAUGAGAUACGUGUAUUUUAUUGCAUGUACCUUGUGAAUA
rnacentral:rRNA from 1 species